CGCUAGACACAGACGCUCUUGUGUGUAUUCCGGAAUUAGACUAAGAACGCCUGGCAGCAGAUCUCCUCCGAAAACCCAAGGAUGCUCAAUGACAUGCCAGUUUCACCGGUUUUCUUGUUCGUUUACAGCACUCUGAAUAAUUAUUUGUUAAUUCCAUUCUUUAUUUGUUUAUUCCCUCCUCAGCAGCCAGUAGGAGGCAAUCGUCAAUACCUCGAAAGCUUCAGAAUUCAAAAUACUGUCAUCAAGAAGUCUUAGCCAAGGAUAGAGAACGACGAUGUGAUGAGCCAGAAAAAUCUUACUGCAGUGACUCGCCAACCCUUGUUGACUUCCCAGCUAAACUUCAAAUCUGGAAACAUAGAACGCAGCAGAAUUCUUACAGAGAAUCACGAAAUUCCAAAUCGACAGAAAAAAAAAGCCGCCAAGGUGCAUCUCAACAAAAAGAC
rnacentral:misc_RNA from 1 species